CCUACGGGAGGCAGCAGUGGGGAAUAUUGGACAAUGGGGGCAACCCUGAUCCAGCCAUGCCGCGUGUGUGAAGAAGGCCCUCGGGUUGUAAAGCACUUUCAGUGAGGAAGAACGCCUGGUGGUUAAUACCCAUCAGGAAAGACAUCACUCACAGAAGAAGCACCGGCUAACUCCAUGCCAGCAGCCGCGGUAAUACGGAGGGUGCGAGCGUUAAUCGGAAUUACUGGGCGUAAAGCGCGCGUAGGUGGCUUGAUAAGCCGGUUGUGAAAGCCCCGGGCUCAACCUGGGAACGGCAUCCGGAACUGUCAAGCUAGAGUGCAGGAGAGGAAGGUAGAAUUCCCGGUGUAGCGGUGAAAUGCGUAGAGAUCGGGAGGAAUACCAGUGGCGAAGGCGGCCUUCUGGACUGACACUGACACUGAGGUGCGAAAGCGUGGGUAGCAAACAGGAUUAGAUACACUGGUAGUC
rnacentral:rRNA from 1 species